rnacentral:misc_RNA from 1 species
GAUGAAGAACGUAGCGAAAUGCGAUAAGUAGUGUGAAUUGCAGAAUUCAGUGAAUCAUCGAAUCUUUGAACGCACAUUGCGCCCCUUGGUAUUCCAUGGGGCAUGCCUGUUCGAGCGUCAUUUGUACCUUCAAGCUCUGCUUGGUGUUGGGUGUUUGUCUCGCCUCUGCGUGUAGACUCGCCUCAAAACAAUUGGCAGCCGGCGUAUUGAUUUCGGAGCGCAGUACAUCUCGCGCUUUGCAUUCAUAACGACGACGUCCAAAAGUACAUUUUUACACUCUUGACCUCGGAUCAGGUAGGGAUACCCGCUGAACUUAAGCAUAUCAAUAAGCGGAGGA